UACGUAGGGGGCAAGCGUUGUCCGGAAUCAUUGGGCGUAAAGCGCGUGUAGGCGGCUCGGUAAGUCCGCUCUGAAAGUCCGGGGCUCAACCCCGGGAGGCGGGUGGAUACUGUCGAGCUCGAGUCCGGAAGAGGCGAGUGGAAUUCCUGGUGUAGCGGUGAAAUGGCGCAGAUAUCAGGAGGAACACCGAUGGCGAAGGCAGCUCGCUGGGACGUGACUGACGCUGAGACGCGAAAGCGUGGGGAGCAAACAGG
rnacentral:rRNA from 1 species